AAAUCCGGUUCACUUUAACACUGAGGCGUGACGACGAGGCACUACGGUGCUGAAGCAACAAAUGCCCUGCUUCCAGGAAAAGCCUCUAAGCAUCAGGUAACAUCAAAUCGUACCCCAAACCGACACAGGUGGUCAGGUAGAGAAUACCAAGGCGCUUGAGAGAACUCGGGUGAAGGAACUAGGCAAAAUGGUGCCGUAACUUCGGGAGAAGGCACGCUGACACGUAGGUGAAGUGAUUUACUCAUGGAGCUGAAGUCAGUCGAAGAUACCAGCUGGCUGCAACUGUUUAUUAAAAACACAGCACUGUGCAAACACGAAAGUGGACGUAUACGGUGUGACGCCUGCCCGGUGCCGGAAGGUUAAUUGAUGGGGUCAGCGCAAGCGAAGCUCCUGAUCGAAGCCCCGGUAAACGGCGGCCGUAACUAUAACGGUCCUAAGGUAGCGAAAUUCCUUGUCGGGUAAGUUCCGACCUGCACGAAUGGCGUAAUGAUGGCCAGGCUGUCUCCACCCGAGACUCAGUGAAAUUGAACUCGCUGUGAAGAUGCAGUGUACCCGCGGCAAGACGGAAAGACCCCGUGAACCUUUACUAUAGCUUGACACUGAACAUUGAGCCUUGAUGUGUAGGAUAGGUGGGAGGCUUUGAAGUGUGGACGCCAGUCUGCAUGGAGCCGACCUUGAAAUACCACCCUUUAAUGUUUGAUGUUCUAACGUGGACCCGUUACCCGGGUUGCGGACAGUGUCUGGUGGGUAGUUUGACUGGGGCGGUCUCCUCCUAAAGAGUAACGGAGGAGCACGAAGGUUGGCUAAUCCUGGUCGGACAUCAGGAGGUUAGUGCAAUGGCAUAAGCCAGCUUGACUGCGAGCGUGACGGCGCGAGCAGGUGCGAAAGCAGGUCAUAGUGAUCCGGUGGUUCUGAAUGGAAGGGCCAUCGCUCAACGGAUAAAAGGUACUCCGGGGAUAACAGGCUGAUACCGCCCAAGAGUUCAUAUCGACGGCGGUGUUUGGCACCUCGAUGUCGGCUCAUCACAUCCUGGGGCUGAAGUAGGUCCCAAGGGUAUGGCUGUUCGCCAUUUAAAGUGGUACGCGAGCUGGGUUUAGAACGUCGUGAGACAGUUCGGUCCCUAUCUGCCGUGGGCGCUGGAGAACUGAGGGGGGCUGCUCCUAGUACGAGAGGACCGGAGUGGACGCAUCACUGGUGUUCGGGUUGUCAUGCCAAUGGCACUGCCCGGUAGCUAAAUGCGGAAGAGAUAAGUGCUGAAAGCAUCUAAGCACGAAACUUGCCCCGAGAUGAGUUCUCCCUGAGACUUAAAGUCUCCUGAAGGAACGUUGAAGACGACGACGUUGAUAGGCCGGGUGUGUAAGCGCA
rnacentral:rRNA from 2 species